rnacentral:tRNA from 1 species
GCCGGAAUGGCGGAAUCGGUAGACGCAGCGGACUCAAAAUCCGCCGGUGGCGACACCAUGAGAGUUCGAGUCUCUCUUCCGGCACCA